rnacentral:tRNA from 1 species
UGGGAUGUCGCCAAGUGGUAAGGCACCGGGUUUUGGUCCCGGCAUUCGGGGGUUCGAAUCCCUCCAUCCCAGCCA